rnacentral:misc_RNA from 1 species
CCGAGUUUACAACUCCCAAACCCCUGCGAACAUACCUAUACGUUGCCUCGGCGGAUCAGCCCGCGCCCUGUAAAACGGGACGGCCCGCCGCAGGACCCAUAAACCCUGAAUUUUUAUUGUAACUUCUGAGUUUAAAAAACAAAUAAAUCA